GUGAGGCCGGCCUGAGCAGGCGCCGUCCCAUCGCACCUCCAGCCCCACCUCCCUGGAUGCCCAGGCCUCCCUGCCUCUGUCCCCGUUGCUGCCCCCUUGCGCCUGUCUGGGAGCCUGUUUACCUUGAUCUUUUGUGUCCCACAGCUCUGACUCUCUCCGUCCCUCCCUCCCUCCCAGAUGUUGGCUGUCUUUCCCUGGGCACGCCUCCCUGUGGGUGUCCUGCAUUGGUCUUUCUGUUCCUGUCUCUGAGUCCCUGCCCCCCUCGCUCUGUCUGUCUCUGCCUCUCUCUCCCUCCUUUUCUCUCUCUUGGCAUUUCUGUCUGUGUCUCCGUUCAUCCUUCUGUCUUUCUGGCUCUCCAUCUGUCACUACCUCUCUUUAUAUCUUUACGUCUCCAUGAUUCUUUGUCACUGUGUAUCUUCCCGACUCUCCCUUCCCCCUGCCCCUCCGCGUACUUCUCCUUCCUCCCCUUUCGCUCUCGUGGACACUUGCCGGGUUGGUGGAGAGGUUAACCACCACACUGGUGACUGGGCCAGCACAAAUGGAGAGCUUCUGCAGGCAGCACUUUCUUGGCUGUGCACUUAGGUGAAGCCCUCAGACCCUCCUGUCUGCCCCCCAGCCCACCCCCCAUUUACCCUGUAGCGCGCCCACCGUGGGAUGAAAUCAGGUUCUCACCAGACACGCACUGGCGGCUCAUCAAAAGCCAAAGGGACGGGAGCUGUCCGUUCAGCACCACAGCCCGCCCUCUGGCCUUGCAGGGUGAGUGCCCACAGCCAGUGUCCACACUACCCAACCAGAAAAGGAGUGUCCUGAUGACCCAGACUCUUCCGGAGAGAGCCCGAGAAGUUGUGACGGGAGCACAGAGGAAUCCUGAGCAAGCAGCAGGGAGAGCCUUUGGGGUCUUGGAGGAGACGCAGGGCGAAGACACAUGACUUGGUCAUUGGCUCAGGAGCGUGGGAGGGAGGGCCAGGUAGGGGUGGGCCUCGAAGGGGAUUUGGGCCUGCCUUGUCGAUCUUGCUUUUUCACAAGCAGAAUCUACUCGCGUGUUACUUAUGUCAUUAAAAGUUAACUGUAGAAAGGAGGCUGAGGGGUACCUCCCAGGACGUGUGCUUGGGAGUUAGAGGAGGCAGGACCAGGCAGAGCGGCUCUCCAGGAACAGCAGAGCAGGAGAUAUUUGGACCCUUGCAGAGGCUGGGGAGGUAGCCAGACCUGUGCUCAGAAGGGAAGGUGGGGCAGGGAGUGAGAGGGAGUCUGGUCAGGGGCCUAGCUGGGUCCUGGGAGAGGCCAGGGAGGAGGGGCCUCAGUCUAACCCUGCCAGCACCCACCACUCUGGCAACAGACACCAGCCCCCUACCCUGACCCUUCAGAGAGUCCUUUCUCAGCCCCUGUUAAAACCUCUGAAAGAGUUUACCUUACAGGCCAGGAACCUGGGGCCUCACAGCUGCUCAAGGCCCUCUCUGCCUCAAGCCUGAGAUUUUCCCAGGAAAAGGGUUGCAAAUUAAUAACAGAGGAAUUUUACAGACAAAUGCCAGGGGCUCCCUUCCAGGCAGCUGUCACCUCAGCCUGGAGGGGGGCUGGUGGCAAUUCAGGGGCAGGAGGGGGAGCUUGGGCAGGUGUGAGUGUAGGCAGGUGAGAGGGGAGAGGGCUGGGGGCUCAAGACUGAGGUCAGAGUCUCCGAGGUCAUGGCUCUGCCCAGGGGACAAGGGUCCAACUGGGAAGUGAAGGACUAUGUCCCGCGGCUGCAAACAGGGAUGCAGCUUGGCGUCUGGUGGUCGUGGAGAUCCCCUGGGUUGGUGGCCUAUGAGGACCUUCCUUCUCAGAAGACCCUUCCUCAAGAAGCCCAGUGGGAAGGGGCAACUCCCCAGGAGGGGGCUUGGGAGUGAGGCCUGCGCUGUCGUCUGGUUGCAAGUCAGAGGGGACGGCAUGGUGGGUGGGGAACCGGCAAGUUUGGAGACAGUGAGCAGGGGGCAGCCUGCGCCGGGGUUGGAGAUCAGGGCUGGGCCCAGCCACAUGCAAGACGGGAGGGUACGCCUGUAUUUUCAGAGCCGGAGGGGCUUAAAGUUCCUCUCAUUGCAGAGCGAAGAGGUGGAGGCCCAGACCUCUCCACAGACAUAGCUCCAGCCAGGAAGUGGGGCCUCGAGGCACGCCCUCCCUUUUCUCUCCUCACCAGGACCCUCUCUUCCGUCCCCAUCACUGACUUAAGAAAGUCAUUAAAAACAAAUCUCCACCGUGAACUGGAUUGCUUUGAUCCCCCUUCAUAGUAAAUGUUACACAUGCAAGAGUGCACAUUGGCCUGUUGGAUGAUUACAUCUCAGAAGAGCAAGAGUAGGAAGGCACCAGGCCAGCCUAGGGCACCUGGUGACAACAGUAAUCGUGCCCAAGGGGGAUGGGGUGGGCACACCACACCCUUCCUCCGAACUGACUCUCAAGACCAGCCAGCCCAGGCAGACACCCUCAUCAGCCUCAUUUCUACAGAGGAGAAGGAGGUGCAGAGAGGGCAAGUGGCACCCCCAAAGUCACACAG